rnacentral:rRNA from 1 species
AUUGAACGCUGGCGGCAUGCCUUACACAUGCAAGUCGAACGGUAACAGGUCUUCGGAUGCUGACGAGUGGCGAACGGGUGAGUAAUACAUCGGAACGUGCCCGAGAGUGGGGGAUAACGAAGCGAAAGCUUUGCUAAUACCGCAUACGAUCUCAGGAUGAAAGCAGGGGACCGCAAGGCCUUGCGCUCACGGAGCGGCCGAUGGCAGAUUAGGUAGUUGGUGGGAUAAAAGCUUACCAAGCCGACGAUCUGUAGCUGGUCUGAGAGGACGACCAGCCACACUGGGACUGAGACACGGCCCAGACUCCUACGGGAGGCAGCAGUGGGGAAUUUUGGACAAUGGGCGCAAGCCUGAUCCAGCCAUGCCGCGUGCAGGAUGAAGGCCUUCGGGUUGUAAACUGCUUUUGUACGGAACGAAAAGACUCUGGUUAAUACCUGGGGUCCAUGACGGUACCGUAAGAAUAAGCACCGGCUAACUACGUGCCAGCAGCCGCGGUAAUACGUAGGGUGCGAGCGUUAAUCGGAAUUACUGGGCGUAAAGCGUGCGCAGGCGGUUAUAUAAGACAGAUGUGAAAUCCCCGGGCUCAACCUGGGAACUGCAUUUGUGACUGUAUAGCUAGAGUACGGCAGAGGGGGAUGGAAUUCCGCGUGUAGCAGUGAAAUGCGUAGAUAUGCGGAGGAACACCGAUGGCGAAGGCAA